CAAGCUCUACGAUCAACUCGAGCUUCUGGAGUUUCCCAAUAAGUUCUUCAUCAAACCCGUAGAUUCGCAUCAUCAAGGCUUCUCCGUCGAUCGCCGCGACGUCAACAUCAAACCUCUCGACGGAAAACUAUUUCGGACAGGAAUCUGUAUUUCAUUUCGCGAGCUGUUGUGUUUGAUGUGACUAUUCAGUUGAUCUAUUUUGCCAGAAUAGCUUCUCACUUCUUCUUCUCAGAUAGAUCUUUGAGUAUUGCCAGCCUCACCACCCCUCUGGCAUGAUCCAUCGCCGAUCGUUUUAGCUUCUUCGUGUUAUUCACCGGCACCACUGUUGAUUUCACCUUUUUGAUCCACCGGCAAACUUCUUCACCGUUUGAACCUCGAUACAGCUUCUAUAGCCGCGUUAACCGCAUACCAAUCGUCAAAAUCUUGGCUUUUUUGCUUUUUUUUGUUUUGUUUUGUUUUUGGAUUUCUCGUUUUGAAUGAGUUAUGGAACCACUGGAGAAUUGUGGUGGCUGUGGCUGUGAUGAAGCGAAGUUCAAGACGGUGGAGAAGAUAUAUUCAACAAUAAACCAAUUCUUCGGAAUGUGAAGAAGUAGAUCCGUAUUUGCAAGGUUCGAGGUGGCUAUGUUGGUGUUCAUGCUUCGAAGAGAAUGUGAAGAUUGAUUUGUUGGAUGCAUCGCUUGGGUCUGCCCGCCCUACGCGCGAGAUUUAAUUAUUUUUUUUGCUAUUUUGGUUUGUAUAGUUGUUAUUUGGUCUUGUAAUUUGUGCGUGAAGAUUGUGAGUAGGAGUGGUAUCUCUAUGAAAACGAUCUAUGUUUUAAAGUAUGUUUGAGAUCGAUUGUUUGAUUGGAAGAUGGAUGUAUGAAGGAUGGUUUAUUUACUUUACUCAUGGUGGUUGUAUCUAUAUUAUAAUGUUCGGGGUUUUUUUUAAUUUAUUU